UGCCAACUAUACUGUUUUAAACAGUAUUAUACUGUUUUUCACUAAAUUAUACUUUUUACUGUUUUACAAAAAAAAAGUAUACAAAAAUACUGUUUUCAGCAUCGAAGCAGACGCUCAAAAAUUUUUUUUGUCAGACAGAGGGCGCUCACUGCGCGCUCACUGCUGCAGCUAAAAACAAAUCAAAUCACACUAAGUUUCUGAACGAAUCUGUCACUGUCAGUGUGCCUACUGUCACUGUCAGUGACAAAUAUUCAAGACUGUCAGUGUCAUGUCAUUCGUGUAUGUUACAAUUACUACUACGUUAAGUUCGUUAUCAAUAUUUAACCGUUUUUUUGUGUGGAGUGAACCCUGUAGUGAUAAGCUUAGUGUACAAAAGAUGGAAAGUGAUAGUGACACUACUCCUACAACGCCAAGAAAGAAAGCCAAACUAUCGAAGGUAAAGCAAAAAUAUAAGCACGAAUGGGAAUGCCAAUAUGACUGGUUAACGAGUGAUCCACUGUGCGAAUAUAAUGCUAAAUGCAAAAUGUGUGCUUUAACAUUUACAAUUUCUCACGCAGGUGUUGGGCAGGUUAAACAACACUUGACCAGCAAAAAACACCAAGCAAAAAUGGAAAUGAGAAAAUCUAGUGGAUUGUUACAAAAGUUUUUUCCUAAAACUUCUGCUUCUACAUCAGGCUUGUCUUCUAAUGAAGAUACCAAGUUAGCAGCGGCUGAGUUAGCGAUGACAUACCAUACUGUCAAGCAUAAUUUAUCAUACAAUAGCCAGGACUGUAGUAUCAAAUUAAAUAAGAUUAUCUAUGUUGAUUCCAAAACAGCCACUAACUUACGAUUGGCUAGGACAAAAAUGGAGGCAUUAGUGACCGAAGUUCUUGGCCCACAUUCCUUGCAGUCUGUUAUUGAUCAGUUAAAUAAAGACAAUGUAUUUUACUGUCUGCAAACUGAUGCCUCCAAUAAAAAAAAUAUUAAAUUGUUUC